UACACACUUACAUCAGCAUGAAGAUGAAAUGUUUACAUCUUGAUAUAGGCAUUACAUGUGCAGACCAUUAAUCCUAGAAUGAGCGCCUCCACUGAUAACCACUCCCCCUCCAUCAGCCCAAAAAAAUUUCAAAAGGCUCCCCUCCUAAACCAAGCUCCUCCCUUCCCUGUUUUCCAUGUCUGUAGAAGAGUAAUGUGACUACAAAGAAAGUUAACAUCUGAUACUCACAUUUUCAAAUAUGACAUGAGCGAUAAAAAUCACUUGCGCUCCCACACUUGCACCAAUUUAUAAUUAUGUUAAGUGUGGAAAGUGUUAAAAAAAACACAGUUUUUUCUCCCACAGGCAAUCCGUUGCUUUUACCAUCGUAUUAUUUCUUUUCUUCAGGGAACGGUUUGCAUAACAAAGUAUGUGGUUAUAUGGGAAGCUAGCCAAAAAUCACACGUGUAUGAUAUCUGUUCUGCAUAAUUUUUGGGGAAAGCACUGCAGCAUGGGUAUCCUAGAAGUUCGCAGUAUGCUUUUGACUCGAAUGUAGCUUAAUUGUUAUUUGUAAUUGUCUAGCAAAAAAUAAUGUUUGGAAGCUUAACCGUAGAGUAUCGUAAGUGCUUAUCGCAAGUUCUCACGUUUGUCUCUUGUAUGGGACACCCGGAAUUUCUUUCUAAGAACAGGUCUAGUACAUGCACUUAUAAAAAUUGUAGUUGCCCUCGGGUAAAUUAGUUAUACCACUUGUGAUACUUGGUGAACGAAUUCCUUCAAAUAAUGCAGCAAGCCUUUUCAACAAGCGGGGUCUUUUCGCGUUUACAGAGACGCGGCAAGAGUAAGGAAGGUUGAGCAGUCAUCAGUGGAGCUUCUCUUCAUAGAUUCGAAUCAGCCUACUGCUAGUCAUCCCCCCAUCGAUGUGAAAUUUCAACAAAGGUGGCCGAAGAGCUCUCCGAUUCAUGAUUUUCGGUUCUCGGGGGCCAGGAAAAGCCUUGUUCCAACCCAAAUACCUUGGAUAUCGUCUGUAAAGGCGUGAGAGUGUUUCUUAGAGGUUACUGAAGCAAGUGGUUUGAAUUCGAAGACGAAGAAGGCUAAGUAUGAAUGGAUGUCAUUUAAGUCACGACUCUUUUCAAGUAACAGCGUCGGGCAUAAGAUGAGGUUAUCACUAGAUCAAGAAAUUCAAGCGAGGAAAGGAAACAAGACAACUUCCAAAAAUAUUGACUGAUGCACGAAUCAAACAAGAAAGGCUGUUACACAAAGACAAGAUUUAUUCAGAGGUAUAAAACAGGUGCAGCCCAUUGCCACCCCGAAUACCGCCAACAAGAGCCAAGAGACAUUUAAAAAAAUCGACGACUUGAAGCCAAGCGUAAGCAAAUGUUAUUUUGCCAUUUUAUUGAAAUCCAAAAUUUUUUGCCAACGUAAUGCUCAUGGCCAUGGGCUGUUUAAUACUUUUAUUUUUUCCCGCCAAAAAACUUAGAAAAAUACGUGUGCCUAUACUACGCAUGCGCCAUUUUUUUUAUUUAGUCUGUAAGUAAGAUCUGUUCAAAUAUGGCGAAUUUUCCCGCCAAAAGACUUAUAAAAAAUAUGGCGCCCAAAAUACGCAUGCGCCAAUUUUUUUUUCUAAGUUUGUAUUUUUCAAGUAAAGUUCAGGUAAUAAACUUCAUCUUUAUUUCC